CUCAGCUUGGACACAGACGCAGCAGUUCUCUACGGGCUGUCUGGCUUCGGCGUCCGCCAUCGAGAGACCCAUCCCGGCUUCCAUGAGUCCCGCAGCCCCCUGGUCCUGGUUCUCUCUUCUUCUUCCUUCUCCUUUCUCACGAGGGACCAAGCCCGAGGCAGACUGAGAGGCAUCAUCCCGGCUGUGAGUCCUGCUGCCUCCCCGGUCUGUCUGUCUGUCCCAGUUCUCCUUCUUCCAAACCGGACCUGGCCUGCCUGGCCUGCCUGGCCUUUACCGCGAAUGGGAAGCUUGGGUCUCGGCAUCUGUCUGUGCCCCUGGCUUCCUUCUUCCUUCCCACUGGGGACUGAGUCCAUGUUCAAGCUUCCCUGUGUCUCACUGCCCCUGGAUCUGUCUGUCUCUCUCCCAGAUUCCUUCUUUCCUUCCAACACAGCCUUCUCUGUCCCUCCCUGCCCUCACCUCCUUCCUUCUCUGUCUCAUGGGGACGAAUCUGGGACCUGAGUCCCCCCCGGGGUUCCAGGCGAGUGGUGUGGCUGCAUUGGUGGCGUCCCCGGUCUGGCAGCUCAGAUCCGUGCCCCCUGAUCCUGUUGUACCUGUGGGCCCCAGCAUCUGUCUGUCUGUCCAUCCAGUCCCUGUAUGCGUCAGGCAGUGAGGCAACCCACUCCUCCCCUUGAAUUAGAAACUGCAGUCUGCAAUUUCAUCUGGAAUAACAAAAACUCUUCUCAAGGAUAAAAGAACCUCUGGUGGAAUCACCAUGCCUGACCUAAAGCUGUACUACAGAGCAAUUGUGAUAAAAACUGCAUGGUACUGGUAUAGAGACAGACAGGUAGACCAAUGGAAUAGAAUUGAAGACCCAGAAAUGAACCCACACACCUAUGGUCACUUGAUCUUUGACAAGGGAGCUAAAACCAUCCAGUGGAAGAAAGACAGCAUUUUCUUUCUUUCUUUUUUUUUAAUUUUAGGCACAUACUAUAGAACUUUAUAAAAUUUUAUAUACUACUGAAAUGUAAAUAUUUCCAAGAAAAUGCAGGUGGUCCAUAAUGACUAAGUAUUUUGUUAAUUACAAUAAAUUUUUUAGGUAUUUAUUUCAUUUACAUUUCCAAUGCUAUCCCAAAAGUCUCCCAUACACUCACCCACCCACCCACUCCACUCCCAUUUCUUGGCCCUGUCCUUCCCCUGUACUGAGGCAGAUAAAGUUCGUACGACCAAUGGGCCUCUCUUUCCACUGAUGGCCGACUAGGCCAUUUUCUGAUUUAUAUGCAUCUAAAGAUUAUGUACAUAUAUCAUAUUUUUGAUCUGGGACAAGUAGUCCUCCCCAGGGAGGAGCCUCCUAAUUGGUUAUCAAAUGGUUAGCCCAGAAAGAAAACAUACAAAUAACAGUAUACAGAUUGGGAAAAUUACAUUUAGGAACAUAUACAUGUACAUAAAUCCAUGUAACACAAUGAAAAAGUUGGCUAUGUGUUUGAAAUAAAGCAAGGAGCAGUUUAUUACAGGGUUUGGGGAAGGGAAGGAGAAAUGUUAUAAUUGUAUUAUUAUCUCAAACAUAAAGGAAAUAAUAAAAAGUAUAAAAUAUUAAACAUAAUGGAAUGUAUAAAUAAGAAGUAAAAUUGUGAGGGAAGUUUGCAAAGAAGAGAAGAGAAGUACAAAUGAGAAUAAAAUUCCUUUGGUAAAUGUAAAAGAAAUAAUAGAACACACUAGAGUACACACA